GGGGAAUAUUGGACAAUGGGCGCAAGCCUGAUCCAGCCAUGCCGCGUGAGUGAUGAAGGCCUUAGGGUUGUAAAGCUCUUUUAGCGGGGAAGAUAAUGACGGUACCCGCAGAAAAAGCCCCGGCUAACUUCGUGCCAGCAGCCGCGGUAAUACGAAGGGGGCUAGCGUUGCUCGGAAUUACUGGGCGUAAAGCGCACGUAGGCGGACUCUUAAGUCGGUGGUGAAAUCCUGGAGCUCAACUCCAGAACUGCCUGCGAUACUGGGAGUCUUGAGGUCGGGAGAGGUGAGUGGAACUGCGAGUGUAGAGGUGAAAUUCGUAGAUAUUCGCAAGAACACCAGUGGCGAAGGCGGCUCACUGGCCCGAUACUGACGCUGAGGUGCGAAAGCGUGGGGAGCAAACA
rnacentral:rRNA from 1 species